UCAAAGUGGGGUGACAUCCUACAAACCGACAGCGAUAGAAAACCACAUUGGCACCAUCAGAGGAUCAGAGGGUGCUGUGCUCAGCCGCAUGCCACCAGGGAUGAUUUAGUUUAUCUGGGUGUAAAUCAGAUGUGACUCAUCAGCAGACACUGCACAGUCAAACGUGCAGAAAACACAUCGGCGCUGAAUGAGAGCCUGAAACACAGCUCGUUAUUUAAAGAGAAUUAUGAGAAUGCCACGAGUUUCAAGAAGAUCAACCCCACUGAGGAAGUGAAAGCCAAGAGUUAUAGAUGUAGCGAUAGGAGGCCCUGAGGAUUUAUUAACUGUUUUGUUUAGACUUACUAAAAAGGAAUGACACCCAUUAUAGUGUAUCACGGGAGUGAGCUAUCUAACAGCCCUGUGGCUGUGACUGCAGUGGAGCUCUGUGAUAAGGAAGAUGCCCUCUGGCUCCAUGGGCUCGCCACCUCCUGAUCUGCAGUGGCAUUUGCUGUUCUGAACAUGGUGAUACUCAAAGCUUGGCACUGGUUUGGAGAACACAACCGAUAUCAAUCAUGACAUGACAGCAAGCUACAGAGAAUGUUUUUCCGGGCAGCACCACUGACACACUGCAUCAUCCGAAAUAGAGCAACCAACCAGCAUGUGUUUUGGGUGCAAAAGGGAAAAACCAGUGGCAUAAAGGAGUGCUUUCAGUA